rnacentral:pre_miRNA from 1 species
UUUUUUAUUAUUUAUGGAGUUGGAACAGAUUCCCUACGUUUGCCGCUAGGGGCGCUGUUCCAACUGCAUACAAAUUUGAGGUA